AUCAAAGAAAAAGUUACCUACGUUCUCUCCUAAAUCCCUAUGUAUAUUUAAACAAAUACAUAGGGAUUUAGGAGAGAGCACAGGUAACUUUUUCUUUGGU